rnacentral:misc_RNA from 1 species
CUUUUUCAAACCGAACUGAACCGAUCAAUGUUCACCCCUAUUUCUUGUUAUAAAUUCAUCCCUUUUCCGUUCAGCACCUUUGGUCUGUGUCCUUACUACAGGAAAGCUUCUCAAGGAUGUCUCUUUGAAGUCCAGAGAGAGUGCAAUGGACUGAUCAAAGGCAAUGACAUAGAUCCUUUCUUGCUCAUUUCCUUGAUUAGUCAUUUUUCUAAUUUUGUCUAGCUUAUUUUCACAGAAUUUUUUAGCGAAUCUUCUUAUUUCAGUUACAAGUUUAUUUGUUGGUUUGGGGUCAGCACUGGAGAAAGAAAAAAAAAAUUAAUAUUGAGGAUAUUCAUGUAGAAUCUCAAUGCUUUACAAUCAAUUGUAGUCCUUUUGGCAAUAACUUUUUAGGUUGAUAGUUUUAUUUCAUAGAUUUCUUUUUAUUUCAUAGAUUUCUUUUUCAGUGUCUGUAUAUGAAGAUAUUUUGUUGAUACGUUUGGGACUAAUGGUUUUCACUAUGUAUUAAAUAUUUGACAAGGUUCUUCUGGGAUCAAUGGGUGC